rnacentral:rRNA from 1 species
UACGUAGGGUGCAAGCGUUGUUCGGAGUUACUGGGCGUAAAGGGUGCGUAGGCGGCUUCUUAAGUCUGGUGUGAAAUCUCCCGGCUCAACUGGGAGGGUGCGCCGGAUACUGAGGGGCUAGAGUGUGGGAGAGGAAAGUGGAAUUCCUGGUGUAGCGGUGAAAUGCGUAGAUAUCAGGAGGAACACCGGUGGUGUAAACGGCUUUCUGGACCAUAACUGACGCUGAGGCACGAAAGCGUGGGUAGCAAACAGG